rnacentral:antisense_RNA from 1 species
UGUUAUGGCGGCUGUGCGCGGGCAGGCUUCGGCCUGGCCGGGUUCCUAGAGUCCCGGUUUCUCACCCCGCGUACAGUCCGCCACCAGU